UUUUUCUUUCACACACCCUUUAUUUUUUCCUUCAAAAAGAUUGAAGAAAUUUGUACCAUUGAUUAUGUUUUGCGCUGUGUUUGUUUGUUUUUGGAGAAAUUUCUAAGCCUUAUGUUAAUUUCGUAGUGGGUCUGGUCGUUGAUCGGUUAUGGGCAUGCCAAGGUUUCUUCGGAGAUUCACAUGUUGGAUUAGAUUCUCUCUUUUGUUUGAUGGACAAUAAUUAUUUACUUUUGGAUUUUUCUUCUGGGGAUAAUGGGGAUCGUGUGUUGUUGGAUUGAUCAUUUAUAGCACAUUCACUGUUUGUUCUGAAGUAGAGUUUUCUAAGAAGAGAAUGUUAAAACUAAUUUUGUGAAUAUACUGUGUUAUUAUCUGAAAUUUAUUGGAAAUUGCUAAAUUUUGUAAGUUUUAUUUCUUAUUUUUAGUUUAAUGCAUGAUUUUAAUAACUUUAAAAUAUUAAUCAGUAAUGGCGAGUAAAUUAGGAGGAAAAUAUAUCAGAGAGUGUUGGCAGUUCUCUUUGGAAAAAUAAGCGAAAAGGGUAUGUUCUAGUAUGGUAUGGUGGAAAGAGGGUGAAAGAGGAAGGAAGAGAGUGGAAGUUUAUGGUUUGGUAGGAAAGAAAGAAGUGGAAAUGGUAAACAAAUUAGGCGAACAUGGCAUUUUCCCCCCUGCAUUUUUGUAAAGAAAACCGUGGGAAGUUUAACCAAAAUGCAACAUAAUAAAUUAUGAUAUCUAACAUAAUCUAUUAUGAUAUCUAACAUAAUCUAUUAUGUUGCAAAUAUUUGUCAUUUGAAGCUUGUAGAAGCCCCACAAUCGAUCAUCAGAAGCCAUGAUUGAUUAUUGAUUAUUGAUUGUUAGGAUAAAUUUGCAUUUAUAGUAUGUGAGUUGAUAACUAGAUUUGUGGCGUGAAUUUUGUUCUUUGUUUGUAGUAAUAGAAAUGCAAACGGAUAUCUGUUUUCUAUUUAUUUUGUAGUAAAGGGGAUUUUAAUUUUAUUUUUCUUUUACUGAUUGGUGAUGGCUAUGCAGAAC
rnacentral:lncRNA from 1 species